CAGCAGCCGCGGUAAUACGUAGGUGGCAAGCGUUGUCCGGAAUUAUUGGGCAUAAAGGGCUCGCAGGCGGUUUCUUAAGUCUGAUGUGAAAGCCCCGGCUCAACCGGGGAGGGUCAUUGGAAACUGGGAAACUUGAGUGCAGAAGAGGAGAGUGGAAUUCCACGUGUAGCGGUGAAAUGCGUAGAGAUGUGGAGGAACACCAGUGGCGAAGGCGACUCUCUGGUCUGUAACUGACGCUGAGGAGCGAAAGCGUGGGGAGCGAACAGGAUUAGAUACCCCCGUAGUCCCUGUCUCUUAUACA
rnacentral:rRNA from 1 species